rnacentral:rRNA from 1 species
UACAGAGGUCUCAAGCGUUGUUCGGAUUCAUUGGGCGUAAAGAGCGUGUAGGCGGUUCGGUAAGUCGGCUGUGAAAGUCCAGGGCUCAACCCUGGGAUGCCGGUCGAUACUGCCGGACUAGAGUUCGGAAGAGGCGAGUGGAAUUCCCGGUGAUAGCGGUGAAAUGCGCAGAUAUCGGGAGGAACACCUGUGGCGAAGGCGGUUCUCUGGGCAUUACCGUGGACGCUGAGGAGCGAAAGU